GAUGAACGCUAGCGGGAGGCUUAACACAUGCAAGUCGAGGGGCAGCAUAGGGUAGCAAUACUCUGAUGGCGACCGGCAAACGGGUGAGUAACGCGUAUGCAACCUACCCUGUACAGGGGGAUAACCCGGAGAAAUUCGGACUAAUAUCCCGUAAUAAUAUCCGGAGGCAUCUUUGGAUAUUUAAAGUUCCGACGGUACGGGAUGGGCAUGCGUAACAUUAGCUGGUUGGUAAGGUAACGGCUUACCAAGGCUAUGAUGUUUAGGGGUCCUGAGAGGGUGGUCCCCCACACUGGUACUGAGACACGGACCAGACUCCUACGGGAGGCAGCAGUGAGGAAUAUUGGUCAAUGGGCGCAAGCCUGAACCAGCCAUCCCGCGUGCAGGAAGACGGCCCUAUGGGUUGUAAACUGCUUUUCCAGGGAGAGAAACUUACGCACGUGUUGCGUGACUGACGGUACCCUGGGAAUAAGCAUCGGCUAACUCCGUGCCAGCAGCCGCGGUAAUAGUGU
rnacentral:rRNA from 1 species